rnacentral:lncRNA from 10 species
CCUAAUACUAGAUGAUGAGUUAGUGGGUGCAGCGCACUAGCAUGGCACAUGUAUACAUAUGUAACUAACCUGCACAAUGUGCACAUGUACCCUAAAACUUAAAGUAUAAUUAAAAAAAAAAGAAAAAAAGAAAUUAGGGCAAAAUAUGUAUGAAUAAAAAUAAGGUAUUAAAUGUUUAAUGCUUGAAAAAAAAGAAAAAAUCUUAAAGACAGCUAGAGAGAAGGGGCAGGUCACUUACAGAAGGAACUCCAUCAGGCUAGCAGCAGACUUCUCAGCAGAAACUUUACAAGACAAAAUAUAUUGAGAGCCUAUUUUCAGAAAAUUUUUUGUUUUGCAGUUCAUCUUUUUAUUUAAUAAAAUCAGAAUAUGCACAG